rnacentral:ncRNA from 1 species
GGAUUAAGGUGCUUUCGUAACAGAAAGAGAAUAGGGAAUGCGGUGAAAAUCCGCAGCAGCACCCACUACUGUAACUUGGACGAAGCUUUUUUGGAGAAAUCCGCCACUGGCCACUGGCCGGGAAGGUUAAAAGCUGAGGAUGAUGAGAAGUCAGGAGACCUGCCUUAAUCAUA